rnacentral:rRNA from 1 species
UACAGAGGGUGCGAGCGUUAAUCGGAAUUACUGGGCGUAAAGCGUGCGUAGACGGUUAUUUAAGUCGGGUGUGAAAGCCCCGGGCUCAACCUGGGAAUUGCAUUCGAAACUACAGUGUCUUGAAUGUCUGAGGGGUUAGUGGAAUUCCCGGUGUAGGAGUGAAAUCCGUAGAUAUCGGGAGGAACACCAGAGGCGAAGGCGGCUAACUGGCAGAACAUUGACGUUGAGGCGCGAAAGCGUGGGGAGCAAACAGG